rnacentral:rRNA from 1 species
CGGGUGAGUAAUAUAUAGGUAAUGUGCCCUAGAGAGGGGGAUAACAGUUGGAAACGACUGCUAAGACCCCAUAUGCCUUUAAGACAGAAGUCUGCAAGGGAAAUAUUUAUAGCUCUAGGAUCGGCCUGUACGGUAUCAGCUAGUUGGUGAGGUAAUGGCUCACCAAGGCAAUGACGCCUAACUGGUUUGAGAGGAUGAUCAGUCACACUGGAACUGAGACACGGUCCAGACUCCUACGGGAGGCAGCAGUGGGGAAUAUUGCACAAUGGGGGAAACCCUGAUGCAGCAACCCGCGUGGAGGAUGACACAUUUCGGUGCGUAAACUCCUUUUAUAUAGGAAGAUAAUGACGGUACUAUAUGAAUAAGCACCGGCUAACUCCGUGCCAGCAGCCGCGGUAAUACGGAGGGUGCAAGCGUUACUCGGAAUCACUGGGCGUAAAGAGCGUGUAGGCGGGUAAAUAAGUCAGAUGUGAAAGCCUAUGCUCAACCAUAGAACUGCAUUUGAAACUGUUUACCUAGAGUAUGGGAGAGGUAGAUGGAAUUUCUGGUGUAGGGGUAAAAUCCGUAGAGAUCAGAAGGAAUACCGAUUGCGAAGCGAUCUACUGGAACAUUACUGACGCUGAGACGCGAAACUGGGGAGCAAACAGGAUUAGAUACCCUGGUAGUCCACGCCCUAAACGAUGUACACUAGUUGUUGCUAUACUAGAUAUAGCAGUAAUGCAGUUAACACAUUAAGUGUACCGCCUGGGGAGUACGGUCGCAAGAUUAAAACUCAAAGGAAUAGACGGGGACCGCACAAGCGUGGAGCAUGUGGUUUAAUUCGACGAUACGCGAAGAACCAUA